CCGCUCCCACCUUGGAUCCCCCCCGGGAUCUAGCUGCAGUUCGCGAUGUCAAUUUUUCGGUAAUUAGGACUUCAGUGCUUUUGAUUUGUAGUUUCUUUAGGCGGUGUGGGAUGAGGCCUCCAGCAGCUUUGAUAUAUGUAAUUAUUCGAGCGGCGGCACACGAGAUCUGCGGUGACGGGGUGGCCUAGAAGAGGCAUGAGGUGGCUGGGGGAUGGCGGCGCUCAAGGUCCACGGGAGCGCGGCGGGCGAGGCCCUUGAGUCAGGCUGGUAAUCGGAUCGGGUUUUAGCGGGCUGACCUCUACCAAACACAUGCCCGAAUAGCUAACCGGGUCAACCACGACCCAUGACCCAACCCCUGGGUUUGAUGGAUGACCCAUGCCCACACCCGAUGGGUGACCCGGCCCAUUCGAACACCCAUCGAAUCCAUGUAAACAUUUCCAUUUUUAACCCGCCUAGCAUGCAACAAGUUCAAACAAAAUCGGUAAAUGACCUAGAACGAAGCGGUGGCAGUGGGUUCCUCGGCGAAGGUGGCCGCCAGGGAGACGCCGGCGGUGCACAGGGAGGUCGGGUUGUCCGGAUUUUCUUUCUAACCGUGGGUCAUCUAGAUUGGGGGAAGAAGGGUUGGGUUGGGCAUUUUUUCCAGAUCUUUAGCAAAUCGUUUUCUAGAUUGGGGAACAACGGUCAGUUCGUGCAACUCUUUUUUUCAUGAUCUUUAGCGAAUCGUUCUCUACUACCACUUAUGGAUGGCAUUGGUGGGUAAUUGUUCUUCCGGAUCUUCAGCGGAUCGUUUUCCGGAUUGGGGAACAAGGGUCAGGCAGGCAGCUUUUUUUUAAACCUUGAUCUUUAGCGAAUCAUUUUCUACCACUUAUGGAUUGUUUUUUCGGUUAGCAAAUCAUUUUUCGAAUUGGGGAACAAGGGUCAGUUCGGGCAACUAUUUUUUCCUGGAUCUUUAGCAAAUCAUUCUCUACCACUUAUGGAUGGCAGUGGUGGGUAAUUGAUUGCAACUUCAGGGCAAGGAAGGUCUGGACAGACAUGUAGAAACACAAAUAUCUCUAUCAGUGUUCAAGAAAAGCAUUGCUAAGCGACUAUUAAGCGCUGAGCAAUGGAAAAACGCUUCGCUUUGGCCCUAAGUGGUAGAUUAAGCAUAUUUGAUAAUUUUGGCCAGAAUUUGGCUAUUUUUGAACUGCUUCUGCUUAGCUGCUUGCGCAAUAAUGGCAGUAUGCCAUUUAUGUUAUUAUUAGGGUCUGUACGGGAGUUGUUUCCUUUAGAUUCUGGGCAAAUCAUGGAAAGAUGAUCUGAAUUUGGCUAUGUCUAUUUGAACUGAACAACAUUUUAGUUGUCAUUUUGCUUGCUGUGUGAACCUGAUGUGUAUUUGCUAUGUCAUGAAGGUCAUUUUAGAUGCUACUUCAACUACCCGUGUGCCAUGUUUCAUAUUUUCCUGUGCAUACUAAUCAAAACAGUCAAAUUCUUGACAAGUUUGAAAAAUCACUCAAGCGCGCUUAAGCGCCCAUUGUUCUAUGUUGUGGCCUUCCAUUUUUUGAACAUUAUCCUUUAUUAAUAGGUAUAGAAAUACUCCUAGAUUGGUGAUUGUUCCUUGUUCUAGGGUGAAAUUGCUAUGUUGGUGUUGUCUAAAGAUUUAUGCCCUCAUGAUGUUUACUUUUGUUUGUUGAUUGGUUAUUACAAGCCAGAGAUGUUAGGAACCUAUGGGUUGGAGGAAUUAGUCCGUCUAUCUCAACGCAGGAUGUAGAGGGGGAGUUUCAAAAAUUUGGAAAGAUUUAGGGGGCAAGGAAUUGUGUGUUGAUUUCCGAAGGUCCAGAGGGAGAGCGGAAAGGUCAGAAGCAGGCAACUUCAACAGUAGAGGAUCAUAGCCACCUGGUGAAACGUGAGUUGGCAUGCAAAGGGUUCUGCUGGAGUACGAAUGAGAGAGGCAAAAAUUCCUACCAAUGUUCUCCAGGUGGGCUUACCCAAUACACAUAAAGUUAACGAGGAGGCACUAAGGCGGGGUAUGGUAGCACAAGGUUUGGUUACAGACAUCAAAGCUUUUCCAGAAAGGCUGUAUGCUUUUGUGGAGUUUGCAACCAUUGAAGGAGCUUCUAAUGCUAAGAAUCUUCUAGAUGGGCGUCUUUUCAAUAAUACAAGGAUUCAUGUUCUUUUCUCCAGCAGUGGGCUUUAUAACAUAACAUCGCUUGUUGAGUUCCCUAGAUCGGAGAUGUACAAUGAUAGUCCACAUGCCGCAUGUGAUUAUUUGGGUGCUGGUCGCAGUAGUCAUGGCACAUCACAAGGGUAUGAUCCUCGACGUGGAAGGUCAAGAUAAGUGGACUAUGGUGCAAUGCCAAUCACUGGGAGUAUCCUUCCAGCACCUGAAGCUGGCUCAUCUUUGUUGUCUGGACAUUCUGCUCAUAGUGCACUUGAUCCGAGAGAAGACAAAAGGGUGAGGCUAGAUGCUGGCAUCGACCCUUAUACCAUGUAAGGGCAGGCACUGAGGGUCUUCUGCCGGGUCGGGUAGCUUUUUUUAACCUUGAUCUUUAGUGAAUCAUUUUCUACGACUUAUGGAUUGUUUUUCCGGACAUGUAGCAAAUAGUUUUUCGGAUUGGGGAAAAAGGGUCAGUUCGGGGAGCUC